rnacentral:rRNA from 1 species
UACGGAAGGCAGCAGUGGGGAAUAUUGCACAAUGGGCGCAAGCCUGAUGCAGCCAUGCCGCGUGUAUGAAGAAGGCCUUCGGGUUGUAAAGUACUUUCAGUCGUGAGGAAGGUGUUAAGGUUAAUAACCUUAGCAAUUGACGUUAGCGACAGAAGAAGCACCGGCUAACUCCGUGCCAGCAGCCGCGGUAAUACGGAGGGUGCGAGCGUUAAUCGGAAUUACUGGGCGUAAAGGGCACGCAGGCGGUUAAUUAAGUUGGAUGUGAAAUCCCCGGGCUUAACCUGGGAAUGGCAUUCAAGACUGGUUAGCUAGAGUCUUGUAGAGGGGGUAGAAUUCCAUGUGUAGCGGUGAAAUGCGUAGAGAUGUGGAGGAAUACCGGUGGCGAAGGCGGCCCCUGGGACAAAGACUGACGCUCAUGUGCGAAAGCGUGGGGAGCGAAACAGGGAUUAGAUA